rnacentral:rRNA from 1 species
AGUGGCGGACGGGUAAGUAACGCGUGAGAAUCUGCCUUGGGGUCGGGGACAACCACUGGAAACGGUGGCUAAUACCGGAUAAGCCGAUUGGUGAAAGAUUUAUUGCCCGAAGAGGAGCUCGCGUCUGAUUAGCUAGUUGGUGAGGUAAGAGCUCACCAAGGCAGCGAUCAGUAGCUGGUCUGAGAGGACGAUCAGCCACACUGGGACUGAGACACGGCCCAGACUCCUACGGGAGGCAGCAGUGGGGAAUUUUCCGCAAUGGGCGAAAGCCUGACGGAGCAAGACCGCGUGAGGGAGGAAGGCUCUUGGGUUGUAAACCUCUUUUCUCAGGGAAGAAGCUCUGACGGUACCUGAGGAAUCAGCCUCGGCUAACUCCGUGCCAGCAGCCGCGGUAAUACGGAGGAGGCAAGCGUUAUCCGGAAUUAUUGGGCGUAAAGCGUCCGCAGGUGGCGAUUCAAGUCUGCUGUCAAAGCACGGGGCUUAACUCCGUAAAGGCAGUGGAAACUGAAUAGCUAGAGUGCCGUAGGGGUAGAGGGAAUUCCCGGUGUAGCGGUGAAAUGCGUAGAGAUCGGGAAGAACAUCGGUGGCGAAAGCGCUCUACUGGACGGCAACUGACACUCAGGGACGAAAGCUAGGGGAGCGAAUGGGAUUAGAUACCCC